AGUGAACGCUGGCGGCGUGCCUAAUACAUGCAAGUCGAACGAAGUGGCGCACGGGCGGGUAAUAUAUAGUUAAUUUGCCCUACACAGAGGGACAACAGUUGGAAACGACUGCUAAUACAUCCUAGUGUAGGAUGAGACUAUAUCGUAUCAGCUAGUUGGUAAGGUAAUGGCUUACCAAGGCUAUGACGCGUAACUGGUCUGAGAGGAUGAUCAGUCACAUUGGAACUGAGACACGGUCCAAACUCCUACGGGCAGGAGCAGUAAGGAAUAUUGAGCAAUGGGGGAAGACCUAACGCAGCAACGGCGUGUGGAGGAUGACACUUUUCGGAGCGUAAACUCCUUUUAUCAUGAAGGCGGUACCCGAUGAAUAAGCCCCGGGUAACUCCGUGCCAGCAGCCGCGGUAAUAC
rnacentral:rRNA from 1 species